AUUGAACGCUGGCGGCAUGCCUUACACAUGCAAGUCGAACGGUAACAGGUCUUCGGAUGCUGACGAGUGGCGAACGGGUGAGUAAUACAUCGGAACGUGCCCGAUCGUGGGGGAUAACGAAGCGAAAGCUUUGCUAAUACCGCCUAAGAUCCAAGGAUGAAAGCAGGGGAACGCAAGGCCUUGCGCGAACGGAGCGGCCGAUGGCAGAUUAGGUAGUUGGUGGGAUAAAAGCUUACCAAGCCGACGAUCUGUAGCUGGUCUGAGAGGACGACCAGCCACACUGGGACUGAGACACGGCCCAGACUCCUACGGGAGGCAGCAGUGGGGAAUUUUGGACAAUGGGCGAAAGCCUGAUCCAGCCAUGCCGCGUGCAGGAUGAAGGCCUUCGGGUUGUAAACUGCUUUUGUACGGAACGAAAAGACUCUGGUUAAUACCUGGGGUUCAUGACGGUACCGUAAGAAUAAGCACCGGCUAACUACGUGCCAGCAGCCGCCGUAA
rnacentral:rRNA from 1 species